rnacentral:lncRNA from 1 species
ACUCACCAACAUGUAAACUGUCCACUGGAAAGCACUGUGAGGUCUGCAUGGGUGGUGCUCUUUUUACUCUGUCACUUAGAAAGGACCUUCUUCCAAAGCUCAUCAGUUUUACUGGGGAAAAACCUUCUAGUAUACCGCACCUGAGCCUUGCCAAGUUGGAAUUGGAAACCCAUGAAACUGAAGAGUUGAGAAAAGCUAUGCAGACUUUUCGUCUUGAAAUACAAGGAGCCUGGAUCACUUUAAUGUCUGCUGUCUUUUCACUGUGA